GAGUUUGAUCAUGGCUCAGAUUGAACGCUGGCGGCAUGCCUAACACAUGCAAGUCGAACGGGAGUAGCAAUACUCUAGUGGCGGACGGGUGAGGAAUACAUAGGAAUUUGCCCUUAAGUGGGGGAUAGUCCGGGGAAACUCGGUUUAAUACCGCAUGAUCUCGUGAAAGCAAAGCAGGGGACCGCAAGGCCUUGCGCUUUUGGAGAAGCCUAUGUCGGAUUAGCUAGUUGGUGAGGUAAUGGCUCACCAAGGCGACGAUCCGUAACUGGUCUGAGAGGAUGAUCAGUCACACCGGAACUGAGACACGGUCCGGACUCCUACGGGAGGCAGCAGUGGGGAAUAUUGGACAACGGGCGAAAGCCUGAUCCAGCAAUGCCGCGUGUGUGAAGAAGGCCUUCGGGUUGUAAAGCACUUUAGGUUGGGAAGAAAAAAUUCGGGCGAAUAUCCCGAGUCUUGACGGUACCGACAGAAUAAGCACCAGCUAACUCUGUGCCAGCAGCCGCGGUAAUACG
rnacentral:rRNA from 1 species